rnacentral:ncRNA from 1 species
AAGUCGAACGAUGAACCACUUCGGUGGGGAUUAGUGGCGAACGGGUGAGUAACACGUGGGCAAUCUGCCCUUCACUCUGGGACAAGCCCUGGAAACGGGGUCUAAUACCGGAUACGAGCCUCCGAGGCAUCUUGGAGGCUGGAAAGCUCCGGCGGUGAAGGAUGAGCCCGCGGCCUAUCAGCUUGUUGGUGAGGUAAUGGCUCACCAAGGCGACGACGGGUAGCCGGCCUGAGAGGGCGACCGGCCACACUGGGACUGAGACACGGCCCAGACUCCUACGGGAGGCA